rnacentral:rRNA from 1 species
CAGUAGCCGCGGGAAAACGUAGGGUGCAAGCGUUAAUCGGAAUUACUGGGCGUAAAGCGUGCGCAGGCGGUUAUAUAAGUCAGAUGUGAAAUCCCCGGGCUCAACCUGGGAACUGCAUUUGAGACUGUAUGGCUAGAGUGUGUCAGAGGGGGGUAGAAUUCCACGUGUAGCAGUGAAAUGCGUAGAUAUGUGGAGGAAUACCGAUGGCGAAGGCAGCCCCCUGGGAUAACGCUGACGCUCAUGCACGAAAGCGUGGGGAGCAAACAGGAUUAGAUACCCCCGUAGUCCCUGUCUCUUAUAC